ensembl:lncRNA
AGGGUGGAAAAGGCAAAGGGCUCAGUCCUGGAGCACAGAGCUCGAGAUCUGGAGAAGCAGAGAGACCAGACUGACCACAACUGGCAGAUUGAGAGCGAGUGCCAAGAAGUGAAACCAAGAAGUCUGGGGCCAAGAAGUCAUCCCAGGCAGGCUACUUCUUCAUGAGUCUACCCAUCUCUCACUCUGGGCAGCCAGCACAGCCUAAGCAAAGCCGACAAGUGUGAUGAAACCUACUUCCUACCCUUUGAUUGCGCUGGAUGGCUAACCAAAAGACCAGGACUCUGGUCUCAACCCUGCCAUUGACUCACGGGGUAUCUGGGGCUUGGGUAAGGCUGCUUACAUCUACAGACCUGUUUCUUCAUCUGAUAAAUGAAGUGGUUGGGCAGUUGAUUGAUUGACUUGGAACCUCAUGUCAAGGCUAAGUGAG